UACGUAGGGGGCAAGCGUUGUUCGGAAUCAUUGGGCGUAAAGAGUGCGUAGGCGGUCCGUUAAGUCGGCUGUGAAAGUCCAGGGCUCAACCCUGGAAAGCCGGCCGAUACUGUCGGACUAGAGUCCGGAAGAGGCGAGUGGAAUUCCCGGUGUAGCGGUGAAAUGCGCAGAUAUCGGGAGGAACACCGGUGGCGAAGGCGGUUCUCUGGGCCUGUACUGACGCUGAGGAGCGAAAGCGUGGGGAGCGAACAGG
rnacentral:rRNA from 1 species